GACGAACGCUGGCGGCGUGCUUAACACAUGCAAGUCGAACGAUGAACUGGGAGCUUGCUUCUGGGGAUUAGUGGCGAACGGGUGAGUAACACGUGAGUAAUCUGCCCCUUACUUUUGGAUAACUUCGGGAAACCGGGGCUAAUACGGAAUGUUCAGGUCUUGCCGCAUGGUGGGGUUUGGAAAGUUUUUCGGUUGGGGAUGAGCUCGCGGCCUAUCAGCUUGUUGGUGGGGUAAUGGCCUACCAAGGCGUUGACGGGUAGCCGGCCUGAGAGGGCGACCGGUCACACUGGGACUGAGACACGGCCCAGACUCCUACGGGAGGCAGCAGUGGGGAAUAUUGCACAAUGGGCGCAAGCCUGAUGCAGCGACGCCGCGUGAGGGAUGACGGCCUUCGGGUUGUAAACCUCUUUCAGCAGGGAAGAAGCUUUUUUGGUGACGGUACCUGCAGAAGAAGCGCCGGCUAACUACGUGCCAGCAGCCGCCGUAAGAC
rnacentral:rRNA from 1 species